rnacentral:rRNA from 1 species
UUCGAUUCUGGCUCAGGAUGAACGCUAGCGGCAGGCUUAACACAUGCAAGUCGAGGGGCAGCGCGAGUAGCAAUACUUGGCGGCGACCGGCGCAAGGGUGCGUAACGCGUGAGCAACAUGCCCGUAUCAGGGGGAUAAUCCAGGGAAACUUGGUCUAAUACCCCAUAGUAAUUUUGUAAGGCAUCUUAUAAGAUUUAAAGCUUUGGUGGAUACGGAUUGGCUCGCGUGACAUUAGCUGGAUGGUAAGGUAACGGCUUACCAUGGCUAUGAUGUCUAGGGGUUCUGAGAGGAAGGUCCCCCACACUGGAACUGAGACACGGUCCAGACUCCUACGGGAGGCAGCAGUGAGGAAUAUUGGACAAUGGAUGGAAAUCUGAUCCAGCCAUGCCGCGUGAAGGAAGAAGGUCCUAUGGAUUGUAAACUUCUUUUGUAUGGGAGCAAUAAGGCCUACGAGUAGGUUGAUGAGAGUACCAUACGAAUAAGCACCGGCUAACUCCGUGCCAGCCGCAGC